UACGAAGGGGGCUAGCGUUGUUCGGAAUACUGGGCGUAAAGCGUGCGCAGGCGGCUUCUCAAGUCAGGGGUGAAAGCCCAGAGCUCAACUCUGGAAUUGCCUUUGAGACUGAGUGGCUUGAGUACGAGAGAGGUGAGUGGAAUUCCCAGUGUAGAGGUGAAAUUCGUAGAUAUUGGGGAAGAACACCCGGUGGCGAAGGCGGCUCACUGGCUCGUAACUGACGCUCAUGCACGACAGCGUGGGGAUCAAACAGG
rnacentral:rRNA from 1 species